rnacentral:rRNA from 1 species
ACGCUGGCGGCGUGCCUAAUACAUGCCAGUCAAGCGAACGGACGAGAAGCUUGCUUCUCUGAUGUUAGCGGCGGACGGGUGAGUAACACGUGGAUAACCUACCUAUAAGACUGGGAUAACUUCGGGAAACCGUAGCUAAUACCGGAUAAUAUUUUGAACCGCAUGGUUCAAAAGUGAAAGACGGUCUUGCUGUCACUUAUAGAUGGAUCCGCGCUGCAUUAGCUAGUUGGUAAGGUAACGGCUUACCAAGGCAACGAUGCAUAGCCGACCUGAGAGGGUGAUCGGCCACACUGGAACUGAGACACGGUCCAGACUCCUACGGGAGGCAGCAGUAGGGAAUCUUCCGCAAUGGGCGAAAGCCUGACGGAGCAACGCCGCGUGAGUGAUGAAGGUCUUCGGAUCGUAAAACUCUGUUAUUAGGGAAGAACAUAUGUGUAAGUAACUGUGCACAUCUUGACGGUACCUAAUCAGAAAGCCACGGCUAACUACGUG